rnacentral:misc_RNA from 1 species
GAUGAAGAACGCAGCGAAACGCGAUACGUAAUGUGAAUUGCAGAAUUCAGUGAAUCAUCGAAUCUUUGAACGCACCUUGCGCCCCUCGGCAUUCCGAGGAGCAUGCCUGUUUGAGUGUCAUUAAAUUCUCAACCUCACCAACUUUGUUGUGUGAAGGCUUGGAUGUGGGGGUUGCAGGUCCGCACUCGUGUGGUCUGCUCCUCUAAAACGUAUUAGUGGGUUAGUCCCCUAAUCUAUUGGUGUGAUAAUUAUCUACGCCGUGGAUUUGGAAGGCUAUCAUAGACCUGCUUCUAACCGUCCUCUGGACAACUUUGACAAUUUUGACCUCAAAUCAGGUAAGACUACCCGCUGAACUUAAGCAUAUCAAUAAGCGGAGGA